UACAGAGGUCUCAACCGUUGUUCGGAUUCAUUGGGCGUAAAGGGUGCGUAGGCGGUCGGGUAAGUCGGGUGUGAAAUUUCGGAGCUUAACUCCGAAACUGCAUUCGAUACUGCCGUGCUUGAGGACUGGAGAGGAGACUGGAAUUUACGGUGUAGCGGUGAAAUGCGUAGAUAUCGUAAGGAAGACCAGUGGCGAAGGCGGGUCUCUGGACAGUUCCUGACACUGAGACACGAAGGCCAGGGGAGCAAACGGG
rnacentral:rRNA from 1 species